rnacentral:lncRNA from 1 species
GUGAUUUAAGUACAUCUCUAGGUGAGAUCAAAUUAAGUUAUGAGAAUGAAUAUAUGAAGCUCAAUCUUGGGUGUCUCCAUUUUAUAUGGGCCAAGAAUGAGUGAUUCAAGUUAAGUUUCUGGAAUGAAUAUAGGUAGCUCAGUCUUGGGGGUUGCCCUUAAAGCUCUAAUGACUAUUCAAUCUCACUUAGAGAAGAGUAGCUCAUGUGGUGAAGAGCAGUAGGGGUCCUAGUCUUGGUUGUCUCCAUUGUAUAUGGGCCAAGGUGAGUGAUAACGGAUAACCUUGUGUGUGGUAGGGUGAAACCCAUUGGCAAUGGCUUUGCAAAGCAGUAGAGGCCACCACAAGUGCAUGACCCGCCAUAGCUCGAUAUUCAUUCCGGGUCCGGACGAGUCUAAGUCUAACACUACCUAAUAAAACAACAAAUUAUAACUUAAAUAAACUGUUCUUCCUUGCUUGUUG